GUCAAGAAUAUUCCCCAAUGGACGAAAGUCUGAGGGAGCGACGCCGCGUGAUCGAAGAAGCCCCUCGGGGUGUAAAGAUCUUUUCUCAGGGACGAAUCAAUGACGGUACCUGAGGAAUAAGAGGUUGCAAACUCUGUGCCAGCAGCAGCGGUAAUACAGAGACCUCAAGCGUUAUCCGGAUUUAUUGGGCGUAAAGCGUCUGUAGGCGUUUUAAUAAGUUUUACGUCAAAUCUUAGUGCUCAACGCUAAGACUGCGCAAAAUACUAUUAAAAUAGAGGCUGGGAGAGGCAGAUGGAAUUGCCGGUGUAGCGGUAAAAUGCGUUAAUAUCGGCAAGAACACCAAAUGCGAAGGCUUUCUGCUAGAACAGUUCUGACGCUGAGAGACGAAAGCGUGGGUAGCGAAUGGGAUUAGAAACCCCAGUAGUCC
rnacentral:rRNA from 1 species